GAUGAACGCUGGCGGCGUGCCUAAUACAUGCAAGUCGAGCGAACAGACGAGGAGCUUGCUCCUCUGACGUUAGCGGCGGACGGGUGAGUAAAACGUGGAUAACCUACCUAUAAGACUGGGAUAACUUCGGGAAACCGGAGCUAAUACCGGAUAAUAUAUUGAACCGCAUGGUUCAAUAGUGAAAGACGGUUUUGCUGUCACUUAUAGAUGGAUCCGCGCCGCAUUAGCUAGUUGGUAAGGUAACGGCUUACCAAGGCAACGAUGCGUAGCCGACCUGAGAGGGUGAUCGGCCACACUGGAACUGAGACACGGUCCAGACUCCUACGAGAGGCAGCAGUAGGGAAUCUUCCGCAAUGGGCGAAAGCCUGACGGAGCAACGCCGCGUGAGUGAUGAAGGUCUUCGGAUCGUAAAACUCUGUUAUUAGGGAAGAACAAAUGUGUAAGUAACUAUGCACGUCUUGACGGUACCUAAUCAGAAAGCCACGGCUAACUACGUG
rnacentral:rRNA from 1 species